rnacentral:rRNA from 1 species
GACGAACGCUGGCGGCGCGCCUAACACAUGCAAGUCGAACGAGCGAGAGAGAGCUUGCUUUCUCAAGCGAGUGGCGAACGGGUGAGUAACGCGUGAGGAACCUGCCUCAAAGAGGGGGACAACAGUUGGAAACGACUGCGAAUACCGCAUAAGCCCACAGGACGGCAUCGACCAGAGGGAAAAGGAGGAAUCUGCUUUGAGUUGGCCUCGCGUCCGAUUAGCUUGAUGGUGAGGGAACGGCCCACCAAGGCAACGGUCGGUAGCCGGACUGAGAGGUUGAGCGGCCACAUUGGGACUGAGACACGGCCCAGACUCCUACGGGAAGCAGCAGUGGGGAAUAGUGCAAAAUGGGGGAAACCCUGAUGCAGCGACGCCGCGUGGAGGAAGAAGGUCUUCGGAUUGUAAACUCCUGUUGUUGAGGAAGAUAAUGACGGUACUCAACAAGGAAGUGACGGCUAACUACGUG